rnacentral:pre_miRNA from 1 species
UGCAGGUGAUGAUGAUGAUGAUGGUGAUGGUGGUUAAUAUAAUAUAUCUUCAUAAUGUUGUUAAUAUUCAUCACCACCGCCAUCAUCAUCACCAUCA